rnacentral:rRNA from 1 species
UACGAAGGGGGCUAGCGUUGCUCGGAAUCACUGGGCGUAAAGGGUGCGUAGGCGGGUCUUUAAGUCAGGGGUGAAAUCCUGGAGCUCAACUCCAGAACUGCCUUUGAUACUGAAGAUCUUGAGUUCGGGAGAGGUGAGUGGAACUGCGAGUGUAGAGGUGAAAUUCGUAGAUAUUCGCAAGAACACCAGUGGCGAAGGCGGCUCACUGGACCGGCAUUGACGCUGAUGUGCGAAAGCGUGGGGAGCAAACAGG